GUGCUUGCUUCAGAAGAACAUAUAUUAAAAUUUGAACAGUAUCAAGAGAUUAUAAUGGCCCCUGCGCAAGGAUGGCAUAAACGUUUGUGAAGUGUUCUAUUUUUAA